CUACGGGUCGCUCCAGUGGGGAAUAUUGGACAAUGGGCGCAAGCCUGAUCCAGCAAUGCCGCGUGAGUGAAGACGGCCUUAGGGUUGUAAAACUCUUUCGCUAGGGAAGAUAAUGACUGUACCUAGUAAAGAAGUCCCGGCUAACUCCGUGCCAGCAGCCAGCGGUAAUACGGAGGGGACUAGCGUUGUUCGGAAUUACUGGGCGUAAAGAGUUCGUAGGCGGACUGACAAGUUAGAGGUGAAAUCCCAGGGCUCAACCCUGGAACUGCCUUUAAAACUGUCAGUCUAGAGACCGGAAGAGGUUAGGGGAAUACCUAGUGUAGAGGUGAAAUUCGUAGAUAUUAGGUGGAACACCAGUGGCGAAGGCGCCUAACUGGUCCGGUACUGACGCUGAGGAACGAAAGCGUGGGGAGCAAACAGGAUUAGAUACCCUAGUAGUC
rnacentral:rRNA from 1 species